GGAAGAGAUAAGCACUGAAAGCAUCUAAGUACGAAGCUCGUCUCAAGAUGAGAUCUCCCUUAAGGGUCGUUGAAGACUACGACGUUGAUAGGCUGCAGGUGUAAAGGCGGUGACGUCAAAGCUGAGCAGUACUAAUUACCCGAGAACUUUCCGGGU
rfam:Bacteroidetes bacterium RBG_13_42_15 RBG_13_scaffold_19245, whole genome shotgun sequence.